rnacentral:lncRNA from 1 species
UGUGUGGAUAGGCCGUGGUUACAGUGUGUGGAUAGGCCGUGGUUACAGUGUGUGGAUAGGCCGUGGUUACAGUGCGUGGAUAGGCCGUGGUUGCAGUGUGUGGAUAGACCGUGGCUGCAGUGUGUGGAUAGGCCGUGGUUACAGUGUGUGGAUAGGCCGUGGUUACAGUGUGUGGAUAGGCCGUGGUUACAGUGUGUGGAUAGGCCGUGGUUACAGUGUGUGGA